GUACUUCCAAAGUACAUAUACUAAAAUUGGAACGAUACAGAGGAGAUUAGCAUGGCCUCUGCGCAAGGAUGACACGCAAAAAGCUGCUGCGGCCGACACUACG